UUCCGGUUGAUCCUGCCGGAGGCGACCGCUUUGGGAGUUCGAUUAAGCCAUGCGAGUCGUGAGUCUUAGGGACUCGGCAUACUGCUCAGUAACACGUGGAUAACCUGCCCUAUCGUCUGGAAUAACCUCGGGAAACUGAGAAUAAGGCCGGAUAGUUCACAAUGCCUGGAACGGUUUGUGAAUCAAGGUAGGAUGGGUCUGCGGCGUAUCAGGUUGUAGGGGGUGUAAAGGACCCCCUAGCCUUCGACGCGUACGGGUGUUGGGAGACGUAGCCCGGAGAUGGAUUCUGAGACACGAAUCCAGACCCUACGGGGUGCAGCAGGCGCGAAAACUUCACACUGCAGGAAACUGUGAUGAGGGAACUCCUAGUGCAUGCACUAUGUGUAUGUAGAUCCUACUCUUAACAAGUAGAGGGAAAGGGCUGGGAAAGACCGGUGCCAGCCGCCGCGGUAAUACCGGCAGCUCAAGUGGUCGUCGCUUUUAUUGGGCCUAAAACGUCCGUAGCCUGUUUGGUAAAUCUGUGGGUAAAUCAAUCCGCUCAACGGAUUGAAUUCUGCAGAGACUGCCAGACUAGGGACCGGGAGAGGUGUGGGGUACUCGAGGGGUAGGGGUAAAAUCCUGUCAUCCUUCGAGGACCACCAGUUGCGAAGGCGCCACACUGGAACGGAUCCGACGGUCAGGGACGAAGCCUAGGGGCACGAACCGGAUUAGAUACCCGGGUAGUCCUAGGUGUAAACGCUGUGAACUUGGUGUCGGGGGUCCGCAAGGGGUCCCCGGUGCCGGAGUGAAGAUGUUAAGUUCACUGCCUGGGGAGUACGGUCGCAAGGCUGAAACUUAAAGGAAUUGGCGGGGCAGCAC
rnacentral:rRNA from 1 species